AAACAGACAGACAAGCCAAGUUUAUAUAUAGAUCAAGAUCGGUCUGACCAAUUGAGAGUUAUAUUCAUCCCCAACAUUUUUUGAUAUUAUAGAUCCGAUUUACUGUUCAGCUUGGUUCAGUUGAACAUAAAAAUAACACAGUUAACAGUUACCAAUUCAGGGUUCGCGGAUUUUUAAGUGGUACCAUGGGAGUUUUUAAAAAAAUUUAAACAAUAUUCCAAAAUAUUUCUAAAAAUUCCAUGCAUAAUACAUGCAUUGGAAAAAAUAAUUGUUUUGAUAAAGAUUACUCUAAUCACACUUUUUAACUCACCCAGGCCUGUAUAUCGGUGGCUGGGAAAAAAACGUAAAAAAGUUAUAAAAUUUCUCCAAAAAAAAAAUUGUAUUAAAAUGAAGAUAAAAUUUGCAUAUCGAAACUUUAUAAAUUUAGUUUAUUUAUUUUAGAAUUUAUGGUUAACACCAGUAACCCCGUUAAAAAUUUACAAAAUUUCAGUCUUGCAAUAAAUAUCCCAGUGCAAUGUGCUUAUGCACACAUCUUCCUCGUUUGAUUAAAUGUAAUUAUUUGAACCGUCCCUUAUACUGGUUUGUUUGAAAUUGUACAUUGCUUUAGAAUUAUAUUCCACACACUUUUCACCCCAUUGAUUACUUUGAUGGGACUGUUCACUCUUUACUCCCUAUAUUAAAUCCUUAACUGCACCACUAAUUUCAAUGAAGUCCUCAAUAUUGAAGUUAACAACAGUUAUUUUUUUAAUCAAGUCAAAAAUACUUACGUUAACUGCAGGAAUACUUCAAUUAAGUCUUAAUGACUGACUUUAAUUGCUGCACUUACUUUAAUAAGGUCUUUAAUAUUGAAGUUAUUACUUGAAUGAAGUCCUCGAUGAUAAAUUUAACCCCAGUUACUUCUAUAAGGUUGGAUAAACUAAGCUUAAUAGAUUUGAAUAAAGAUUGUAUCAUAUUGUU